rnacentral:sRNA from 1 species
AUGUCAACACAGAUUCAUUGUUUCUCGGAUGCCAGUGAUAUCGGUUAUGGCGUGGUGUACUAUCUUCGUUUAAUUGAUAAAACUGGGAGGAUUCAUUGCUCAUUUGUUCUUGGGAAAUCACGAGUUGCGCCUCUGAAAACAAUUACCGUGCCUAGAAUGGAAUUAACUGCUGCAGCAAGAGCAGUUCGAUUGAGCAAAGUUAUUUUGCAAGAGUUGAAUUACAACAUCGAUAAAGUGUUCUUUUGGACAGAUAGUAUGACAGUGCUGCGAUACAUUUUCAACAGAAAUUCAAGAUAUCAUACGUUUGUUGCAAAUCGUCUUGCUUUAAUACAUGAAGCUACCGACAAUGCACAGUGGAAUUAUGUAAAUACGAAGCAAAAUCCAGCUGACUUUGCUUCUCGUGGAAUGACUAUUUCGAAAUUUCAACAAAAUCCUCAAUGGAUCAGGGGACCAGAUUAUUUGUGGUUACCAGAAUGUGAAUGGCCACAAGUAUGUAUGGACUUGACAUUUCCAGAUAAUGACUCGGAAGUCAAACGAAAAUCAGUGGUCAAUGCAUCAAUUGUGGACGAUGAUUAUGAUGAAUUUAACAGUUUUGAAACCUUGAUUUCUCGAUGUUCUGACUUUGACAAGUUGAAAAGAAUUGUAGCUUGGUUGUUGAAGGCCGUAAACAACUUUAAGCAAACCACCCGAAGAAAAAACGACUUAGCAAAUGAGAAUGAAGAUAAGUUACCUACACAAGCAAAAUCCAAGCGACUAAAUGAAUCGAAGGAACUAGUCAAAACUCUGAAUCUAAAAGUACAGGAUAUACACAACGCAGAAAUGACUAUUAUUCGUUUUGUUCAAAACCAACAUUUUGAUGAUGAAGUACAGCGAUUAAAAGAUAAGUUGAAUGUUAAGCGAACAUCAAGACUGUUUAAACUUGACUCAUAUAUUGAUGAAAAAGGAAUAUUACGAGUUGGUGGGAGAUUAGCAAGAUCAAAUCUAACCGAAACAUCGAAGCAUCCAAUCAUACUGCCAAAACAAUCUACAUUAUCAUAUUUAAUUAUAAUACAAGAAAUUCAUAGAUCGAUCGGACAUUUAGGGAAAAAUGCUAUUUUGACCGAACUCAGACAAAAGUAUUGGAUCAUAGGUGCUAACGGUAUAAUCAAGAAUAUUGUCUCUAAAUGUGUCAUAUGUAGAAAAUAUCAAGCACCCAUCAUGCAACAGAAAAUGGCGAAUUUGCCCAGCGAAAGGGUGACUCAAGAUACUGCACCGUUUACAAUCGUUGGUAUGGAUUACUUUGGACCUUUUGCAAUUAAACAGAGAAGGUGUACUGUUAAACGUUACGGUGUGAUAUUUACAUGUCUCAAAAUAAGAGCAGUACAUUUGGAAGUAGCCGAUUCCCUAGACACCAGUUCUUGCAUUAAUGCAAUCCGGCGAUUCAUUGCACGCAGAGGAGUACCCAAAAUUAUUCGAUCGGACAAUGGAACUAAUCUCGUAGGUGCGCAAAGAGAACUUAAAGAUGAAAUUGUUAAAUGGAAUCUGAAUCAGAUUGACAAUUUUAUGCUUCAAAAGGGCAUCGACUGGAAAUUUAAUCCUCCAGCAGCAUCUAAUUUUGGUGGAGUAUGGGAAAGACUCAUUCGAUUCAGUGUAUUUUUUGUAUUUCAGUUAAACCUUUCAUGUGUAUUAAGAGAAUUGAAUUAA